rnacentral:rRNA from 1 species
UUAACCCUGAUCCAGCCAUUUCGCGUGUGUGAUGAAGGCCUUCGGGUUGUAAAGCACUUUUGUCGGGGAAGAAAUAGCGAAGGUGAAUAGCUUUUGUGAAUGACGGUACCUGAAGAAUAAGCACCGGCUAACUACGUGCCAGCAGCCGCGGUAAUACGUAGGGUGCGAGCGUUAAUCGGAAUUACUGGGCGUAAAGCGUGCGCAGGCGGUUCGGAAAGAGAGAUGUGAAAUCCCAGGGCUUAACCUUGGAACUGCAUUUUUAACUACCGGACUAGAGUAUGUCAGAGGGGGGUGGAAUUCCGCGUGUAGCAGUGAAAUGCGUAGAGAUGCGGAGGAACACCGAUGGCGAAGGCAGCCCCCUGGGACGAGACUGACGCUCAUGUACGAAAGCGUGGGUAGCAAACAGGAUUAGAUACCCUGGUAGUCCACGCCCUAAACGAUGUCAACUAGCUGUCAGGGCUUUCGGGCUUUGGUAGCGCAGCUAACGCGUGAAGUUGACCGCCUGGGGAGUACGGUCGCAAGAUUAAAACUCAAAGGAAUUGACGGGGACCCGCACAAGCGGUGGAUGAUGUGGAUUAAUUCGAUGCAACGCGAAAAACCUUACCUACCCUUGACAUGUCUAGGAUCCUAAAGAGAUUUAGGAGUGCUCGCAAGAGAACUGGAACACAGGUGCUGCAUGGCUGUCGUCAGCUCGUGUCGUGAGAUGUUGGGUUAAGUCCCGCAACGAGCGCAACCCUUAUCAUUAGUUGCUACGCAAGGGCACUCUAAUGAGACUGCCGGUGACAAGCCGGAGGAAGGUGGGGAUGACGUCAAGUCCUCAUGGCCCUUAUGGGUAGGGCUUCACACGUCAUACAAUGGUCGGGACAGAGGGUUGCCAACCCGCGAGGGGGAGCCAAUCUCAGAAACCCGAUCGUAGUCCGGAUUGCAGUCUGCAACUCGACUGCAUGAAGUCGGAAUCGCUAGUAAUCGCGGAUCAGCAUGUCGCGGUGAAUACGUUCCCGGGUCUUGUACACACCGCCCGUCACACCAUGGGAGUGGGUUUCACCAGAAGUGGGUAGCCU